rnacentral:rRNA from 1 species
AGUAACACGUCGGUAAUCUAACCUUAAGUCUGGGAUAACCUUGGGAAACUGAGGAUAACACUGGAUAGGGGAUUGAGGCUGGAACGCACUUUCUCCAAAAAGUAAUGCUUAAGGAUGAGCCGGCGGCUGAUUAGGCUGUUGGUGAGGUAAUGGCUCACCAAACCAAAGAUCAGUAGGGGCCCUGAGAGGGGUAGCCCCGAGAAGGACACUGAGAUACGGGUCCUAGCCCCACGGUGUGCAGCAGGCGCGGAACCUCUACAAUGCACGAAAGUGUGAUAGGGGGAUCCCGAGUGCCAAUGUACAACAUUGGCUUUUUUCAAGACUAAAACUCUUGGAGAAUAAGUGGUGGGUAAGACUGGUGCCAGCCGCCGCGGUAACACCAGCGCCACGAGUGGCAAUCGCGUUUAUUGGGCUUAAAGCGUCCGUAGCCGGUUUGGUAAAUCUUUUGUGAAAUCGUUGUGCUUAACAUAACGGCAUGCAAGAGACACUGCCAAACUAGGGACCGGGAGGAGCUGGAGGUAUUCCUUGGGGAGCGGUAAAAUGUUAUAAUCCUUGGAAGACCACCCGUGGCGAAGGCGUCCAGCUAGAACGGAUCCGACGGUGAGGGACGAAAGCUGGGGGAGCGAUCCGGAUUAGAUACCCGAGUAGUCCCAGCUGUAAACGCUGCGAGCUAGGUGUUGCAUAUUCUACAUGAAUGUGCAGUGUCGAAGCGAAGGUGUUAAGCUCGCCGCCUGGGAAGUACGGUCGCAAG